AGCAGCAUUGCAGUAGCUGAGACAUCCACAACCAACAGAAUCGAGGUCUGCAUGGGUGGCAAAUGCAAGAAAUCAGGCGCGCUUGCUCUUCUGCAGGAGUUCGAGAAGACUGUGGGCACUGGAGGUGCGGUCGUCGGGUGCAAGUGCCUAGGAAAGUGUGGCCUAGGGCCCAACGUGCGCCUGAGGAGCGAGGUCUCAGCGGAAGGUUCUUCAAAGAGGAACCCACUUUGCAUCAGCGUAGGGUUAGAAGAUGUUGGCACCAUAGUGGCAGGUCUCUUCGGGGAUGUUGAGCUGGGCAUGACGUCCACCUAGACCUAGCACUCUUGGCAAGAGUUGAAGCUGUAUUAGCUGUUGUUGUACUGAACAAAUAUACAGCACAGACCAUAGCUACGGCCCUG
rnacentral:lncRNA from 1 species